AUGAACGAAUAACUUAAACGAAUAUUUAAUUCAAAUUCAGAUUAAUUUUUACUUUCCUUGCGUGUGCUAGAGCAUUCUCCAUAUCACUUGAAUACUCAGAAUCUAGUUCUUUUUUGCAUAGUCACGUACCAGGUUUUGUAACCGAGGACUUAUUUGAAUUACAGAUUUGCAAAUGCGGAGUUGCCAAGGGGCCGUACAUAAAUUACGAGCUCCAUUUUCGCAGAAUUUUGACCACCCCCCGACUGGUAUGAUGUAUACACAUGCCUCAUGUUAUAAUUAACAUGGGAAGGAUAGAAUAGCUUGAUGGCAACCACCAUAACAUGUACCGCAUUCCUUUUGUAAAGUCUCCUAGCAUAUUCAUUAAUUUCAAGCGAUCUGAUAUCAAAGAGAAGCCAGACGCUCGUUAAGACUUAAAUUGAUACUAACUGCUAGAAGACCAGGAAAAUACACACCUAUUGGCUAACAUACAUAUCUACGAGUACGAAAGGAAAGCUUCUGCUAGUCGAAGUGGGAUGGAUUACAGGACCCUGUUGACGGUGACCCUUAUCCUUGCGGCAGGAAUACACAUCAUAACUGCAUAUAUUGCAAGUAACUCCUUGGAUCAGGAUUCGCCAGGUGAUGGCGGUGGUUCUUCCGGUGGACAAAUAAUACUACAUCCAUGCCAUUGGACCGGGUGUGGCAACCCUUGGCCGAAAUGUCAGGAUGGGUAUUAUGAGAAUGACAUAAGCCGGUGCGGAUUUCCCAACAGGAAGAGACGACAAUGCUGCCGAACUUGGAGCCCGAUUCCCGCAACUUAAUUAUCCUAAACGAAAUUUAAAUAAGCCAGUUAAGCUUAGUUAUUGUCGCUAUAUGUAUUAAUAAAAUAAAACUUUAAUUUGUGCCCCGCA